rnacentral:lncRNA from 1 species
GGCGGACAGCGGAAGGUCCGGGAGUGUCCGCCAUAAAGUCGUUUGAGGUGACCGUUGCGUAAUUGUGAGUCUGUGAGAGAAGAUGUGAAGUAUGGCCUCGUCCCGGUCAUCUGGGCGUGCGGGUCCCGGGUUUUGAUCGCGCGUUUGUGUAGAAUAAAAGAAAUGACAGCCACCAUAGAGGAACUAGCCAAAGUUAAUAUUAGUCGGCCAGCCCAGAGUCCCUUCAGGAGUUCUGUGUGACUGGGAAAGGAAAUCUGACAGCACCGGGCACGUGACAGUAGACUACAGGGAAUUCAAUAAGAGUUUGACUCUUCGUCAACAAUAAUCUGGCGCCCAAACGUGGGGCCUCAGAGAAGACUCAGGACCCCUAAGGAGUUGCCUGAAACCGGAGCUAAGGUACCAGCAGGGGCCCAUUGAAGUCCCACUGAGUUCAAGCUUCUCCUCCGGUGGAACUGAUAAUAAACUCCAAGACCUUCAAAAACCAAAAGGAAGACUUUUUUUUCAUCUUACACUGAAGAUACCACAUUAUUUUUAUGCAUGGAAGGGGUCUCAGCACUAUUUCAAUGAAUACAGUCCCAAUCCCCAUUUGAAAAAUAAGAAAACUGAGGCUCAUAGAAGUUAUGUCAUCUUUCUGCCGAAAAACAGCUAUUAAAAAGUUGGAUAGUCACUGUUUGAAUGCAGACACUUGGAGCUCUGAAAGGAGAGCAUUUAUGCAGGAACAUGCAAGAUCAUGGACCUUGGGGCCAUGCCAUGCUGCUAUACCAAAAUUGAAGUAGUUAAAAAUAUGGAUACUCCAUGGGUUCAUAGGGGAACCUCGCAAGAUGCUGGAGACUUGGAUAAGCUGACAAAACUAGAACACGUUUUAAAUUUGGGGGCGGGAGCAUUACAGCCUUUAAAAUAUCUUUUAUAAAAAUUCCACUCCCAAAAUCUGAGAGUACUUGUCAGAAACAGUAUUUUUUUAAACUCGGAAUACAGGUUAAAAUCCAAGCUCCUUAAUUCUGUAUUUAAGGCUGUCCAUGAUAUCGACCAUGCAGACGUUAGUAGCUUCAUGUCUUGACCACACCUGACUCCCAACCCUGACUCCAAGCUGUGCCAGCUCUGCUCUCCCUGUGCAGUCUUCUGGGUUGUCCUCUGUCUUGGUUCAUUGGUAGAAUAGUCACAAACUUUGUUCCAUACCUUAAUCUUUUUAAGUUAACAGGGGAUCCUAGAGGCCACUCUGCAGUGGUGUGGCAGUAUUCCUUAUUCUUGUUGUAAGUUGGGUGCUGUUCCAGGAUAUUGUCGGUGGGAAUUUUGGUUCUUUUUUGCUAUUACAAAUAAGAAACAUUUGAAUAGUUUUGUAAAUCUACCUUUUUCGUGGUUUUGCUUGUAUACUUUUUUCACUGGAGAAGGGGGAAUUCUGCAUGAAAAUGUAAAUUUUAAGUGUUAGAAUGUGAGGAUUUGCAAACUUAUCUUACACAGACUUGUGUCAUUUUCCUUCUAACCGCCAACAUAUGAGCAUACCUGUCUACCCAGGGUCUCUCCACUAGAGUGAUCUGAAUAAUUUGAAUGCUAGCUGUGUGGUAGGAAGGAGCCUCCCCACCGCUCUCAACACCAAAGAUGUCCAUGUCUUAAUCUCAAAAUCUGUUCAUUUGUUACUUUUCAUGGCAAAAAUGACUUUGCCAAUGUGAUUAAAGGAUCUUCAAACAGGGAGAGCACCAUGGACUAUUCAGGUGAAGGCACUGUAAUCACAUGGGUCAUUAUAGGAGGGAGGCUGAAGUGUAAGAAGCAAAGGAGACCUGAUGACAAGAGAGAUGCAGCCUUGUGACAAGAAAUGAGGGCAGCCUGUAGAACAGGAGUCCCCAACCCCUGGGCCGCAGACCGGUACCAGUCUGUGACCUGUUAGAAACUAGGCCACACAGAAGGAGUUGAGCAGCGAGCAAACGUCACCGCCUGAGCUCUGCUUCCUGUGAGAUGAGUGGCAGCAUAUUCUCACCGGAGCGUGAACCCUAUUGUGAACUGCGCAUGUGAGGGAUCUAGGUUGAACGCUUCUUAUGAGAAUCUAACUAAUGCUUGAUGACCUGAAGUGGAACAGUUUCACCUUGAAACCAUUGCCCCAUCCAUCUUCCAGAAAUCCCAUCCCUGGUGCCAAAAUGGUUGAGGACCACUGCUCUUGAAGCCAGCAAAGGCAAGAAGUAGAUUCUCUCCUGGAGCCUCAGGAAUGGCAGGCAGCUAGGCCCAGACAUUAAUUUUAGCUCAUAAAGUAUAUUUUGGAAUUCUGAACUACACAACAUAAUUUUUUUGUUUUGUUUUGCUUUAACUGCUAUGUUUAUGGUAAUUUGUUACAGCGGAGAUAAAAAAAUGAAUACACUUCUCAGUAUGAUAGGUAAGAAAUGGUAUCUCAGUGUAGUGUGAAUUACACUCCUCUUAUUUUGAAUGUCAUAAGUUAUCUUUUUUAAUGUUCAUAGUACUUAGAAUAAUUUGUAUGGACAAAGCACGUUGACUGAGCUUCUGUUGCUAACUGGAGGUAUCGGAUAUUUAACAACACUUAGAAGUUUGGAUGGCAACAUUCAUUUAAACUGUGAGACAGUAAUACCUGUUGAGGUGCAGAAACUCCACUACCCCUUCAAGAAUCCUUUUUUUUUUUUUGAGACAGAGUUUUGCUCUUGCUGCCCAGGCUGGAGUUCAGUGGCGUGAUCUCGGCUCACCACAACCUCCGCCUCCCAGAUUCAAGCGAUUCUCCCGCCUCAGCCUCCCAUAGCUGGGAUUACAGGCAUGAGCCACCACGCCCGGCUAAUUUUGUAUUUUUAGUAGAGACAGGGUUUCUCCAUGUUGGUCAGGCUGGUCUCGAACUCCCGACCUCAGGUGAUCCUCCUGCCUCAGCCUCCCAAAGUGCUGGGAUUACAGGCGUGAGCCACUGCACCUGGAAGAAUCCAUUUUUUUUUUGAGACAGGGUCUUGCUCUGUUGCCUGGGCUGGAGUGCAGUGGUGUGACUAUGGCUCACUGCAGCCUUGAAUUCCUGGGCUCUAGCAAUCCUCCCACUUCAGCCACCUGAGCAGCUGGGACUACAGGCAUGGGCCAGCAUGUCCAGCUAAUUUUUUUGAUUUUUAGAAGAGACGAGGUCUUACCAUUUUGCCCAGGCCAGUCUCAAACUCCUGAGCUGAAGCAGUCCUCCCAGCUCGACCUCCCGAAGUGCUAGGAUUACAGGUGUGAGCCACUGCACCUGGCCAAGAACCCAUAUUUAGAGUCAGACUCACCAUAUCCUUGAAGAAACCAUUCCAAAUAUUAUUUAAAUGACUCCGUAUUUUU